rnacentral:tRNA from 1 species
UUAAUUGAAACCAAAAUAGAGGUAUAUCACUGUUAAUGAUAAAAUUGAGACCAAUCUCCAAUUAAG